CACGUAGGGCGCGAGCGUUGUCCGGAAUUAUUGGGCGUAAAGAGCUCGUAGGCGGCUUGUCGCGUCUGCCGUGAAAUCCGGGGGCUUAACCCCCGGCUUGCGGUGGAUACGGGCUGGCUAGAGGCAGGCAGGGGAGAAUGGAAUUCCCGGUGUAGCGGUGAAAUGCGCAGAUAUCGGGAGGAACACCGGUGGCGAAGGCGGUUCUCUGGGCCUGUACUGACGCUGAGGAGCGAAAGCGUGGGGAG
rnacentral:rRNA from 1 species